UAACUUUUUGUCUUGUGUAAGUUGAUUUUGUUCUACGUUUGUUCAUAGAUAGCCUUGAAGAAGUUCGCAAACAGAAGGGAUAUCAGUUAUGCAGUUAUGGUGCUCGACCAACUAACCCAUCCUUCGUUAUAGUUUACGACCCUUAACGUAAGCCCGACGGUUUAAGACGAUUUCAAGGUUUUACUAUUUGACUAGGUGUCUCUGAAUUCAGUUGGCGGAUUGCGAGAUCUGAGGUGGAAAGGUACUUGGCUGAACCGAUAUACACCCCCACCAAUGACAAUGCUGCUUUUGAUAUAUUACAGUGGUGGAAGGUUAAUGCUGCGAGGUUUGACAUUUUUCCACUCAUGGCUAAAGAUGUAUUUGCUGUUCCCGUUUCUUCCGUUGCUUCAGAAUCAGCAUUUAGUACCGGAAAAAGAAUUUUGGAUCAUUUUCGAAGUUCCUUAAAGCCUAAGACACUUGAGGCCUUAAUUUUGUUGCAAAAUUGAUUACGUUCACCAAUAGACAUGGAUUCUUCUACCCUUGGAAUCGAGGAGGAGGA